rnacentral:lncRNA from 1 species
CUCCUUUCUUGCAGUACCAAUGUUGCGGAUUGAGGGAUGGACCUAAAGACUGGGGACAAAAUUUUGACAAACAAACAGACAUCUGUCUAUGUGAAGUAGAGAAGCCAUCAUCAUCAGACCUCUGCACCAUGUAUAGAGGCAGAUACAUCUAUAAAAAAUCCUGUGGAGAAGUGAUGAUACAACAAAUUAAAGACAAUCUGGUCAUAGUUAUGGGGAUCGCCUUUGGACUGGCUGUUGUUGAGAUUCUUGGUUUGGUGUUUUCUAUGACCCUCUACUGCCAGAUCGGGA